rnacentral:rRNA from 1 species
AGGUUUGUGACUGAGUGGCGGACGGGUGAGUAACGCGUGGGUAACCUGCCUCAUACAGGGGGAUAACAGUUAGAAAUGACUGCUAAUACCGCAUAAGACCACGGAGCCGCAUGGCUCAGUGGGAAAAACUCCGGUGGUAUGAGAUGGACCCGCGUCUGAUUAGGUAGUUGGUGGGGUAACGGCCUACCAAGCCAACGAUCAGUAGCCGACCUGAGAGGGUGACCGGCCACAUUGGGACUGAGACACGGCCCAAACUCCUACGGGAGGCAGCAGUGGGGAAUAUUGCACAAUGGGGGAAACCCUGAUACAGCGACGCCGCGUGAGCGAAGAAGUAUUUCGGUAUGUAAAGCUCUAUCAGCAGGGAAGAAAAUGACGGUACCUGACUAAGAAGCACCGGCUAAAUACGUGCCAGCAGCCGCGGUAAUACGUAUGGUGCAAGCGUUAUCCGGAUUUACUGGGUGUAAAGGGAGCGUAGACGGCUGUGUAAGUCUGAAGUGAAAGCCCGGGGCUCAACCCCGGGACUGCUUUGGAAACUAUGCAGCUAGAGUGUCGGAGAGGUAAGUGGAAUUCCCAGUGUAGCGGUGAAAUGCGUAGAUAUUGGGAGGAA